UUUGAAGUCGCAGUUCAACAUCUACUGCAGCAAAUAUUUUCUGGAAGUCAGCACUAUAUAACAGCGACUUAAAAAUCUCCAGUAAUAUGCUGUGUUUAUUUGUGAAUUUGUGACGAAUCUGCUGACGGAAGCGCAACACAGCUGGAGCUGUUCGGUAAGGAAACCAGUUAAAUUGGAAACCAGUUGGGACACCGGUGGAUUUCAAGACCUCACUCCGCCGCUGACUAUAGCCGACUACUUUCGUUUUGACAUGGCAGCAGUAUCUGCAAGAACGUGUCACGUGACGGUCAGUUGAUGCAAAGAUAAUUGUCUCGUAAGCUAUUUUCACAAUGAAACGUAACUUCAAGAAAAAAAUACCGAGGACAUGACCUCGGUGUCCUCAAUGGUAGCUACGGCCAUGGACAAAAUAUGACGUGACGGCGACAUAACGAAAUUCUUCUGUCGAAAUUACCCUGAAAAACACUGGAACUUAGAUUUUGUAACCUUCCCCACCCUGUUCUGUCGAGCCAUCAUAAAUUACGUUAGUUGGUCAAACAACGUGGUUGCUUGGCAACUCGUGUUCAUCGGUUCCAACUUCAAAAAACGGCUUCCAACUGCACCCGGCCAUUAAAAGGGAGCUGUGGAGGAAGUGUGUCUGGAAGGUGUGCGGCCACUUGCGUUGAUGCCAGUGUGUUCUGUUUUCUGGAGCUGCAGCAGGGCUUGAAAAGUCGAGGGUCGAUAAUCACCUCUCCAAAUCGCCCCUUGUAGACAA